GACAGUGUGGCAUAGUGGUUUGAGCACUGGACUACGACUCUGGAGACCAGGUUUUGAUUCCUAGCUUGGCCA